GGGUCAGUAGGUUGGUCGUGCCACCGGUACGUACUGGUCUCACUGAUUCCUCCUUCCUGAAGAACCGUAAUGCCAUUAAUUUGGUGUUGCGGGGAAACAGGACUGUUACUUUGAAAAAAUUAGAGUGUUUAAAGCAAGCUAACGCUUGAAUACAUUAGCAUGGAAUAAUGAAAUAGGACGAUCGAUCCCAUUUUGUUGGUCUCUAGGAUUGACGUA
rnacentral:rRNA from 1 species